UGGAUGAUAUUUGAAAAAACCAUACUGUAUGUUUGAUUUAAUUUUUAUUUUUAAGCUCAUAUCGUAAGAAUGGGACUUGUAG
rfam:Mycobacterium abscessus strain PAP053 genome assembly, contig: ERS075544SCcontig000063